CAGGUCCCAGUAUGGUUGUGAACUACCACGUAGUUACUGAAAACUGAACUCAGGACCUUUGGAAGAACAAUGCCUUUAACCACUGAGCUACCUCUCCAGCCCCAGAAGCAUUCUUGAAUAGAGUUAGCUGAGCCAGAUCUUAGGUUUACCCAGUCUUCUGUUGUCAGUUGGCUUGUUUUCUAGACCAGAAUAGCCUUUCAGAUCCUAAUCUGACUAGUCUUCUGAUGUCACAUUCACUUCUUUAACCCAGAGAGAGAACUUGCAUAGGUUCCUCAACACUCGUUUUGUGAUUCCUUGUUCUUUCACUAUCAAAAAUUGAGGGACAACCCACCUCAGCAAACUGAAAUCUAAUUGGCCCAGCAGAAGAGAAACUGAAGAGAAGUGUUUCUGUUGAAGUAAAGGUUGUUCACAAAAAGCUUGGUUUUGUUCCACUUUUAUAGAAACAUUCGGAGAGUCAUUACAAUUAGUAAAAGUCUUUAUAUGUGAAUAGCAUUUGUAGAUUGGUGGCACAAAACUGAUUAAUUUCACUUUAUUCUCAAUAUAUUUGUUGUAGAAGCAAAGGCCACUAAGAAGGGUUCCAUCUCUAAGCAACUUUGAAGGUUUUGAUGACAACUGAGGAUGAUGAGAGAGAACCUGCCCCUUUCAGAGCUGACCAGUUCUCUGGUGGUUACUGCUACUGAUCCAUCCAAACUGCUGGACUUCUUCAUACCCAAGGUCUUCAGGCAGUAUCUAAUGGGAAGUCAACUUAAAGGAACCAGACCAUCAUUUCCCAGCCUGCCCUUUUAUUCUGUAGCUACCUCUAUGUGAGGAAAGGAUAGAAAACAUUCAAGACAUCAUACGGGCUUACGAUCUACAGAUUCCAACCAGUAGCAGUGGCUGACUCCUACAUAGAAGACUGGGAACUACAAACAGGCUGGGGUCACCUCAGUGACAUCUGAC
ensembl:lncRNA